rnacentral:lncRNA from 12 species
AGCCUGGGUGCCAGCCGGGAAGCCCAGGUCAGGGGCAAUGAGGGACUCCUAGCUGCCAGCAGCCAGAGAGGAGGCAGGGAGGGGACCUCUGACUUGACAGAACGUGCCAGGAUCCGCAGCGAGACUUCCACGGGGAAUGUCAUCUCAUUGCCCCUAUUUUACAGAUGGGCAAACAGAGGCUCAAAAACAUUACAGCUGAUUCAUGCUUCAAACACAGGCUUGUCCGAUUCUCAAACUGUGCUCUUUAUCCUACAUCGUGUAGCCUCCCCGAAGAGACUUUGAGGAGGGAGAGAGAUCUACACAUUAGCAAGGUGGACGCCAGCGGUGCUGUCUUGGGGCCAGAGAAAGAUGCCUCCUCACGGAAACAUCUCCUCUUCCUCAAAAGAGCCAUACCCCACCUUUCAUUCACUGAGGUGCUGAUUGCAGCUGCCAUGUCGGGUGUGGUAUCACACCUACAGCAGAUUCCUUCAGAGCCUCAGGUACAUGUGUGUGAUUUGGGGAACACAUUCUUUUCUAUUCCUAUUUUUUAAAAAAGUAUCUAAAACAGAACAACACAACUAUAGUUGUUUAUAGUCUUAUCCCAUGGCUAUCUUCAUUCUCUCAUCCUCUUUCAUAGAAUAGUCAAAGUUGAUCUGGAUUGCUUCCACGUUAUACAAAACAUCACAUUGGAUCAGUGUGAUAACAGAUCACUGUUUUUUUGGGGUUUUUUUUUGUUGUUGUUGUUUUGUUUUGUUUUGUUUUGUUUUUUGAGGACCAAACUUUAAUAUUUCAAGGACAUCUCAAGUGAGUUACUGGUGGGGUUACAGAAGCUUCCAUUCAUGCCACCACAGCAAGAGUCAAGAAUUCUGAAAGUUGAAGCAAUUACUGCUUUGGACACAUAACAAUAUAUUAAAGCAUGUCAGAAAGUGCAAAAAAGGAGGCAUUCAGCAGAGCAAAAACAAGCAACAGGCUGAUUGUCCUAACAGAAGCUCUUUCUAGAGCUCUCAGUCCCAGGAAUUAGAGCUGCCUCAGCCAGAGAGAGGUCCAGACAUGGGUUUUGAUGGAUUCUUAUUACAACUAGUCAAAGGCAAUCUCAAAAAAACCAAGGUUCACAUUUCCCCCAUAACUGUCCUUGGAUCUUGCAACAAAGAGAAAAUUUGGCUACUUCUCACAUGUAGGCUGAGCAAGAACCAGAGCAGUGACUUCAUGCUGAUGUGGACAGACAAGCAAAAUGUGGCUCGUUCACUGGAGGUUUUGGGAAGACACAUGCACAACAGAGGGCAUGUAUGUAUUUAC